UGCCCUAGUAACGGCGAGUGAAGCGGCAACAGCUCAAAUUUGAAAUCUGGCUCUUUCAGAGUCCGAGUUGUAAUUUGCAGAGGGCGCUUUGGCGUUGGCAGCGGUCCAAGUUCUUUGGAACAGGACGUCACAGAGGGUGAGAAUCCCGUACGUGGUCGCUAGCCUUCGCCGUGUAAAGCCCCUUCGACGAGUCGAGUUGUUUGGGAAUGCAGCUCUAAAUGGGAGGUAAAUUUCUUCUAAAGCUAAAUACUGGCCAGAGACCGAUAGCGCACAAGUAGAGUGAUCGAAAGAUGAAAAGCACUUUGGAAAGAGAGUCAAAUAGCACGUGAAAUUGUUGAAAGGGAAGCGCUUGCAGCCAGACUUGCCUGUAGUUGCUUAUCUGGACUUUUGUCCGGUGCACUCUUCUGCGGGCAGGCCAGCAUCAGUUUGGGCGGUUGGAUAAAGGUCUCUGUCAUGUACCUCCUUUCGGGGAGGCCUUAUAGGGGAGACGACAUGCAACCAGCCUGGACUGAGGUCCGCGCAUCUGCUAGGAUGCUGGCGUAAUGGCUGUAAGCGGCCCGUCUUGAAACACGGACCAAGGAGUCUAACAUCUAUGCGAGUGUUUGGGUGUCAAGCCCAGACGCGUAAUGAAAGUGAACGGAGGUGGGAACCUUUUAGGUGCACCAUCGACCGAUCCUGAUGUCUUCGGAAGGAUUUGAGUAAGAGCAUGGCUGUUGGGACCCGAAAGAUGGUGAACUAUGCUUGAAUAGGGUGAAGCCAGAGGAAACUCUGGUGGAGGCUCGCAGCGGUUCUGACGUGCAAAUCGAUCGUCAAAUUUGGGCAUAGGGGCGAAAGACUAAUCGAACUAUCUAGUAGCUGGUYCCUGCCGAAGUUUCCCUCAGGAUAGCAGUAACGUAUUCAGUUUUAUGAGGUAAAGCGAAUGAUUAGAGGCCUGGGGGUUGAAACAACCUUCACCUAUUCUCAAACUUUAAAUAUGUAAGAAGUCCUUGUUACUUGAUUGAACGUGGACACUUGAAUGUACCGUUACUAGUGGGCCAUUUUUGGUAAGCAGAACUGGCGAUGCGGGAUGAACCGAACGCGGGGUUAAGGUGCCAGAAUAUACGCUCAUCAGACACCACAAAAGGUGUUAGUUCAUCUAGACAGCAGGACGGUGGCCAUGGAAGUCGGAAUCCGCUAAGGAGUGUGUAACAACUCACCUGCCGAAUGAACUAGCCCUGAAAAUGGAUGGCGCUCAAGCGUAUUACCCAUACCCCGCCGCCGGGGCAGAAUUUAUGCCCCGGCGAGUAGGC
rnacentral:rRNA from 2 species